rnacentral:rRNA from 1 species
CCCAGUUCGGAUUGCAGGCUGCAACCCGCCUGCAUGAAGUUGGAAUCGCUAGUAAUCGCGGAUCAGCAUGCCGCGGUGAAUACGUUCCCGGGCCUUGUACACACCGCCCGUCACACCAUGAGAGUCGGGAACACCCGAAGUCCGUAGCCUGACCGCAAGGGGGGCGCGGCCGAAGGUGGGUUCGAUAAUUGGGGUGAAGUCGUAACAAGGUACC